rnacentral:tRNA from 1 species
AGCCCCGUCGUCUAGCGGUCAAGGAUGUUGGGCUUUGGACCCAAAGACGCCAGUUCGAAUCUGGCCGGGGCUA